AGCUGGAGCCCGCGGAGCCCACGGAGGAUCCCCAGCGUCCGAACGGGCAGACCCCCCGAGCCGCGAAGGAGCCCGAGAAGCAGCCACGAUGUGCGGAAUCUUUGCCUACAUGAACUACAGAGUCCCCCGGACGAGGAAGGAGAUCUUCGAAACCCUCAUCAAGGGCCUGCAGCGGCUGGAGUACAGAGGCUACGACUCGGCAGGUGUGGCGAUCGAUGGGAAUAAUCACGAAGUCAAAGAAAGACACAUUCAGCUGGUCAAGAAAAGGGGGAAAGUCAAGGCUCUCGAUGAAGAACUUUACAGUAAGUGGAGGACCUCUGAGUGGGAGGAGCCGCUGCAGCGCCGGCCGCUUUCUAGGCCCGUAAUCCAACAGCGCCGGAGACUAGAGAUUCUCCUUUGUCCCAGCUCAGAUAAACAGAGGGAGGGUUAAGCCCAUGCUGUAAAACCGGGCUUCGCAGGGUAUGGGAUGGUUUAUUUUAGGUGGUGGCGGCACAUGGAUAAUUUUUUUAAGUGUGAAGGGUUACAUACAGUAGUUAUUUUAAUUAUUCCAGCAAAUGAUACUGCUUUUCUGUUUAUGGUAGGGAUAUAUCAUUUUCUUUUUAAAGCAAGUUUAUUUCUGUGAAGAAGUGAGCUAAGCUACAGACAAGUAGUAAAUAACCCUCAGCACGGGUGGUUUGUGGGCCUGUGCGGACUCCCAGGGUGGGAGCUGGUGAGGAGGUGCCAUCGGUGUGGGUGACGUGACUUGGGUAACGACACCAGGUUGCACUCACAGUCCUGGGUCGAGGCUUGUUGUUCAAGUGCGGCAAACUGAUUUUCCUUUCAUUUAGAACAAGACAGCAUGGACUUAAAAGUGGAGUUUGAGACACACUUCGGCAUUGCCCACACGCGCUGGGCCACCCACGGGGUCCCCAG
rnacentral:sRNA from 1 species